GAAUAGGAGUGCUUGUGAGGUCCCGGAAGCUGUCUGCCGUAUAAGGCGAGCGUUGAUCCGGGUGAAAAGGGAAGCCGGUGCAACUCCGGCACGGUCCCGCCACUGUAAACAGGUAUGUCCCCAGGAAGCCACUGUCCCGCAGCAACACGGGAUGGGAAGGCGGGGACGAUUUUACCCAGCCUGUAAGUCAGGAGACCUGCCUCACGAGAGGAAAUGAC
rnacentral:ncRNA from 1 species